AGUGAACGCUGGCGGUAGGCCUAACACAUGCAAGUCGAACGGCAGCACAGUAAGAGCUUGCUCUUACGGGUGGCGAGUGGCGGACGGGUGAGGAAUACAUCGGAAUCUACUUUUUCGUGGGGGAUAACGUAGGGAAACUUACGCUAAUACCGCAUACGACCUACGGGUGAAAGCAGGGGAUCUUCGGACCUUGCGCGAUUGAAUGAGCCGAUGUCGGAUUAGCUAGUUGGCGGGGUAAAGGCCCACCAAGGCGACGAUCCGUAGCUGGUCUGAGAGGAUGAUCGGCCACACUGGAACUGAGACACGGUCCAGACUCCUACGGGAGGCAGCAGUGGGGAAUAUUGGACAAUGGGCGCAAGCCUGAUCCAGCCAUACCGCGUGGGUGAAGAAGGCCUUCGGGUUGUAAAGCCCUUUUGUUGGGUAAGAAAAGCAGCAGGUUAAUACCCCGCUGUUCUGACGGUACCCAAAGAAUAAGCACCGGCUAACUUCGUG
rnacentral:rRNA from 1 species